CAGGGCAACGGGGGAACGCCUGGUUGUGUCUCCAGUAUGAGGUUGUUGGAUGAAGAAACGGAAGCUCCCUAUCUGCAGACAGGACACCAGACAGUGUGGCGGGGGAACGCCUGGUUGUAUCCCCAGUAUGAGGUUGUUGGAUGAAGAAACGGAAGCUCCCUAUCUGCAGACAGGAAACCAGACAGUGUGGCCGGGGAACGCCUGGUUGUGUCUCCAGUAUCAGGUUGUUGGAUUUGUUUGGGUGGAUGAAGAACUGGAAGCUCCCUAUCUGCAGACAGGACUAACUACAACAAUACAUUCCUGCUGGAACCUGUAGUGGAACUUUAUCGCCACCCUGUGGACAUAACUCUACAGAUAGCAGGUCCAGAAAACACUUCUACUGAAAUAUAUAAAGUGUCCACAAGAUGGCAACAUGUCUGGUGAAAGACCCGCACACAGUGCAUCAACUCAUGUAACAACAUGCACCAAAAAAUAUUGGAAUAUGAGUCGCGUUUUCCUAGUGGCUUGUUUCUGCGUUUUCUUUUGAUUUCCCAUCACGAUCCAGUGUUUAAGAAAGGUGAACGGAGUUGAAUAGUUGUAACGUUAUAGAUGGAUGGGCCGUUCUCCCCGUGUGAUGUUCUUGUCCUAUAAUGGAACAGCAUAACAUAGGUUAGGGAUUAAUUCAAUGGAACAACUGGUCAUUACUCGACAGAUUAUCAUCUUUAGGUUCUCUGGGUAGGCAAAGUGAAAAGGGGGCGUGCCGAACGGUUUCGCCCGGUAAUAAUACACGGACACGGGUACUUUGAGGACUGGCUUCACGGAGAUCCACGGUAACAGACAGUGCAUGGGCACAAUCUAUUUAGAAAACAGGAGCACGUACCACUCUGAUGCAGAAGCGUCCAGUCAGUCCCUGCUGGAGGUCUGUCUGACUCCUGGACACCCUCAGCCUUUUCAUCAUUGGAUUCAAGCACACUGUGUUCCCGGGUGUUUUGACAGACCUGAAAAAGCAGAUCCGUAUGGUUCUGAUGUCAUGAAGGAGCAUGAGGAUGACCCGGAGAUAUUAGUUGACCUGCAGCAGUCUGGCCAAGUCCUACGCCUCCACGCCCGAGCUACGCAAGGCCUGGCUGGACAACAUGCCACGCAUCACAGCAAGAACCACAGACCUACCUGAGGUAGGUUUCAUACAGCUAACCCUGACCCCUGGCCUGAGGUAGGCUUCAUACAGCUAACCCUGACCCCUGACCUGAGGUAGGCUUCAUACAGCUAACCCUGACCCCUGACCUGAGGUAGGUUUCAUACAGCUAACCCUGACCCCUGGCCUGAGGUAGGCUUCAUACAGCUAACCCUGACCCCUGACCUGAGGUAGGCUUCAUACAGCUAACCCUGACCCCUGACCUGAGGUAGGUUUCAUACAGCUAACCCUGACCCCUGGCCUGAGGUUGGCUUCAUACAGCUAACCCUGACCCCUGAUCUGAGGUAGGCUUCAUACAGCUAACCCUGACCCCUGACCUGAGGUAGGCUUCAUACAGCUAACUCUGACCCCUGACCUGAGGUAGGCUUCAUACAGCUAACCCUGACCCCUGACCUGAGGUAGGCUUCAUACAGCUAACCCUGACCUCUGACCUGAGGUAGGCAUCAUACAGCUAACCCUGACCCCUGACCUGAGGUAGGCUUCAUACAGCUAACCCUGACCCCUGACCUGAGGUAGGCUUCAUACAGCUAACGCUGACCCCUGACCUGAGGUAGGUGUCAUACAGCUAACCCUGACCCCUGACCUGAGGUAGGCUUCAUACAGCUAACCCUGACCCCUGACCUGAGGUAGGCUUCAUACAGCUAACCCUGACCCCUGACCCUUGACCUGAGGUAGGCGUCAUACAGCUAACCCUGACCCCUGACCUGAGGUAGACUUCAUACAGCUAACCCUGACCCCUGAC